GCUUUAUAUUAACAGCAUGAUUUAAUUGAAAUAAACAUAUUAAAGGUUUUAGCAAGCUUAUUAUAUUUUAUUGGGGAGGUAUAAGUAUAAUUAAAUGUAAUUGCUUAUAAAUAGAUACAUAGAUAAUUGAUUAGAAUUUUAAUGAUCCUUUAAAUAAAGAAUUAAGACUAAGUU
rnacentral:rRNA from 1 species